rnacentral:rRNA from 1 species
UACGUAGGUGGCGAGCGUUGUCCGGAUUUACUGGGCGUAAGAGCGCGCAGGCGGUCGUUCAAGUCGCGUGUGAAAGCCCCCGGCUCAACUGGGGAGGGUCACGCGAUACUGAUCGACUCGAAGGCAGGAGAGGGAAGUGGAAUUCCCGGUGUAGUGGUGAAAUGCGUAGAUAUCGGGAGGAACACCAGUGGCGAAGGCGGGUCUCUGGACAGUUCCUGACGCUGAGGCACGAAG